rnacentral:rRNA from 1 species
AAUAGAUACCCCGGUAGUCCUAGCUGUAAACGAUGAGCACUGGGUUGAGGGGACUUCCACAUCCUCUCGGCCGUAGCGAAAGCGUUAAGUGCUCCGCCUGGGGAGUAUGGCCGCAAGGCUGAAACUCAAAGGAAUUGACGGGGGCUCACACAAGCGGUGGAGGAUGUGGCUUAAUUCGAGGCUACGCGAAGAACCUUAUCCUAGAUUUGACAUGGUUGAGAAUCUCCUUGAAAGAGGAGAGUGCCCUUCGGGGAGCUCUUUCACAGGUGCUGCAUGGCUGUCGUCAGCUCGUGUCGUGAGAUGUUGGGUUAAGUCCCUUAACGAGCGAAACCCUUAUCUUUAGUUGCCAGCGGGUCAAGCCGGGGACUCUAAAGAGACUGCCGGUGUCAAACCGGAGGAAGGUGGGGAUGACGUCAAGUCCUCAUGGCCUUUAUGUCUAGGGCUGCACACGUCCUACAAUGGCACGUACAAAGGGAAGCCAAGCCGCGAGGCCGCGCUAAUCCCAAAAAGCGUGCCCCAGUUCGGAUUGCAGG